CAGACGGCCGUCGGGUCGAUUCAGUUUAUCUGAUAGCUGUGACAGGUCAUUCUCGGUACAUGAGAGCGUAACCAGAAUGGCAGGACGUUUUCUUCUUCGAACUUUUACAACAACAACACUUAAGCUGAGGAACAAUGUGCUGGCCACACCGUUGCUCCGUGCUAUGGCCACAGGGAAAGGAAUACCAACGAAUGAGGAACAGGCCACUGGACUGGAGCGACGCAUCCUGCAGGGCCUGAAACAAGGAAAGGAUCCCUACAGUACGCUGAAGCCCAAGAGCUAUGCUGGCACCAAGGAGGACCCUCACAUCGUGCCAUGUAUUGGAACCAAGAGGCUGGUGGGCUGUAUUUGUGAGGAAGACAACACUGCUAUUGUAUGGUUCUGGCUUCAUGAGGGAGAUGCCCAGCGCUGUCCUUCCUGUGGUUCCUACUAUAAGCUGGAACACCAUGAGCUCCCCCACUGAAACUAAAUUUAACACAGGCAUUGCUAUUUGCUUCCUUAAUGGCCAUAUACUCCAGGGUGUGCAUUUUUAAAUAGGGAAAACAUCACCAUCCAUUAUGCUGUAACAAAGGGGAAGUUAAAUUAUUUACGUUAAACCGGGCAACUUUCAGUGGCACCACUUUUAUCAAUGUCAUACAAAGAAUUUUGUGAUGGUGUUUUCAAUCCAUAGUA